CCUCCCCCGGGAUUUGACGCCCCACUUCCCAUUCUGUGUACACCUUAGGCCAAAACUUUCAAUUUUGUCUUUAAAUUGGGGGCUAUUAUGCGCCCAACCCUUAGAACGGCUGUGAGAAUUCAGUGAGAGGAGGUUGGAGGUUUGACCAUAGUGAGCGCUUGGCUUUCCUUUUCAAGUCGACGUGGUUUCAGUUUGCAUCCCAUGGGUCUUAACUAGAGGACCCGCACAUAAACUCAAGGCUCUGGGUCAGGAAAACGACAGCCAUGGUGAGAAGAGGUGAAAGUGUGGGCCUGGGAGCCAGAUUGCCUAAUUCAAACCUCACUCCACCCUUCACUUAAGGCGAUCGACCUGCUAACCCUCAGUUUUCUUGUCUGCAAAAGGGGGAUAAUGAUAACCCUAGCUGUGAAUAAUAGCUGUCCCAUUGGGCUGCUGUGGGGACUGAGAUUGUGCUUGCCAAGUGCUUAUUUUGCAUUAUAGUGCUUGGCAAAUUUUAGGCUAGUGAAUAAUUUUUACUUGGUUCCUGGUUUAUUGUCCUCCAUUGAGCAGCCUGUCAUUUAACCGCUUUCAGCCUGGCUUUAGAGAAUCUGGAGGCCACCAAGGAAGUCAUCAGGCCAAACGGAAUCUACCUCUAAAUAUAAGAAGAAAAUGUUAGCCAAGCAUGCUGGCACACACCUGAAAUCCCAGUGACUCCGGAGGCUGAAGCAGGAGGAUUACUAGUUCAAAGCCAGCCUCAGCUGAUAAAAUAUUUUCAACACCAGGUGUGGUGGCGUACACCUGUAAUCCCAGCAGGAGGAUCUUGAGUUUAAAAGCCAGCCUCAGCAAUUUAGGGAGGCUGUAAGCAACUUAAUGAGACAUCCUCUCAAAAAGGUUUGGGAUAGUGUUGGGUUGUGGCUCAACGGUAGAGCGCUCGCCUCGCAAGCAGGACCCUGGG
rnacentral:lncRNA from 1 species